rnacentral:rRNA from 1 species
GACGAACGCUGGCGGCGUGCUUAACGCAUGCCAGUCGAACGGAAAGGCCCUGCUUUUGUGGGGUGCUCGAGUGGCGAACGGGUGAGUAACACGUGAGUAACCUGCCCUUGACUUUGGGAUAACUUCAGGAAACUGGGGCUAAUACCGGAUAGGAGCUCCUGCUGCAUGGUGGGGGUUGGAAAGUUUCGGCGGUUGGGGAUGGACUCGCGGCUUAUCAGCUUGUUGGUGGGGUAGUGGCUUACCAAGGCCUUGACGGGUAGCCGGCCUGAGAGGGUGACCGGCCACAUUGGGACUGAGAUGCGGCCCAGACUCCUACGGGAGGCAGCAGUGGGGAAUAUUGCACAAUGGGCGGAAGCCUGAUGCAGCAACGCCGCGUGCGGGAUGACGGCCUUCGGGUUGUAAACCGCUUUCGCCUGUGACGAAGCGUGAGUGACGGUAAUGGGUAAAGAAGCACCGGCUAACUACGUG